rnacentral:ncRNA from 1 species
ACUUUAUUUAAAAAUAACUAUGAAGCCCCUUGGUGAGUGUUGACACAAUGAGAUUUCUGCCCAGUGCUCUAAAUGUCAAAGUGAAGAAAUUCAAUGAAGACUGUGUUAAUGGUGGGAGUAACUAUGAUUCUCUUAAGGUAGCUAAAUGCCUCACCAACUAAAAAUUAGUGAUGCACACAAACAAGAU